CUGCUGCAAAAAAACAAAGAGACAUGACCGAGGCCUUCGUUGGUGGAGCUUUUCUCUCUGCUUCAAACCGAGUUCUGUUUGACAGGAUGGGUUCUCUUGACAUCUUGGAUGCAGAGGAUGUUGACAAGAUUGGCUUGCUGAGCUUAAACAUGCUGAUGCGGAGGACCUCUUAGAUGAGAUUGCUACUGAAGCUCUUCGAGCAGGUAGGAAUCCCAGGAUCAAACAACUGUAAUGCAGGUACGUCGUUUUUCCACAUAUAUUGACAGCUUUGUGAUCACAUGAACUAGACUUGGACAGUUCAUUGUUCCUUUUGUCUAUAAGUUUUCAUUGUGGUGCACAUUUUAAACUACUGUAUUAUGACUUGGUAAUUUCCAUUAUUUUCCCUUAUCAAUGGUGGCUCGGAAUUGCUUAAUUACUUAAUUUUAAUGCUGUUUCUAUGAUCCUUUCAGAGUUUUUCUAGUUAUUAAGAUGUAUUAUCAGAGUCUGAAGAUCUCAAUAACUCAAAACUUGAUGAAAGCUGGCAAAGGACCUACAACAAAUCAAAGCAGGCACAAAUACUUAAGGUGAACAUCGAUGCUUUUCUGGUUAGUGCUGGAAGUUAUAUUUCCUAAUACAGGAGGUGACAUGUGCUUAUUGGAGGAAAAAAUAAAAAUAAAAAGGACCUGCAACUAAUGAUCUUCAAUUAUUGUGCUUUAUGUUCCAAGCUGCCAGUUGCUAUAUGAGUUAAUUUUUGCCAGUCAGUUAAGUUCCUUCUGCAUCCAAUCUACUUUGUUCUGGAGGUGACAAAGAAGAAGCUUUGAUGAUUUUUCUAGAUUUAUGCACCAUGAGAAUUUUAAAUGGUCUACUACUAGCUACAGAUACAAGUUGAGUCUCUUUGCAGCUAGUUCUUCUAUCUGCUUCAUUUCAAAGUUUGGAUUGGCAAAACAACAUAGAGGAUCAUCUUACAUUGUUCAUAGACUUUCUUGGAUUUCUGAACUGUAAGAGGUCAAUAAAAAUCACAACCUCCAGUUCGUUCCACGCAGGCCUUUUCGAACGUAAAGAACAGCACCAACACAUUCAACAGCAGAGAGGUAGGGAAGAAGGCCCUUUCAAUCAUAUCCUGCAUGCAGAACUGAAAUUGAAAUGCUUAUGUGAAGCAUAUAUGGGCAAAAUCCUGUUCUUGAUUUUGUUGGAAGUUUUUUCAUGUUCUUGAGGCAUCCAUCCUGUAGUUUAUUAGUCUGAGUAUCAACUGAUAUGGGCCAACAAACUCAUAAACCAAGUGAAAUGGUUAUUAGUCAAAGUAUCAACUAAUUUAGUUGGUUAAGUAUGUAAAAACUUGAGCUAACCAUAGAUGGGUAGCCCAACCAUUCAGGAAAAGACAUUGCUACAAUAUAAGCCGAAACAUAGCAAUUUUGACUUGGGCA